UUCCAACUGUUGGAUAAAGAGAACAUGAUCUCAUUUGCCACACUUCAAAUUUCAGAGCCUAAUUCUAUCAAAUACCAUUCUGUGUAUUGGUAUGCGUCCCCAUGUAUGUCCAUACACGUCUAUGGUAUUCUGACCACUACUGUGCACUCUCCCAUAGUCGUGGAUUUUCAAAGCUCUAUGUUGCCACUUGGAAAACUCCGAUUUGGCUGGAACUUGAUAUAUGAGCAGGGGACGUUGAGUUUACCUGUCCACAAAAUUUGGGCCCCAUCUGAACUGCUAUGUGGCAGAUAUUUGACAGUUAAGGAAAGGCUUCCUUAAUAAGUCACAAGGAAAACAUUCGCCCAUAUUUAUUAUGAAGGAAUUUUAACCUUCUAUAGAUUAUGUGAAAUACUGAAAUUACCAUUUUCGUUUAUCCUUUGGUUUAUCCAAGGGGGGGGGGCUGAUUAGUAAGCUGCGUAUGGAAUCAAAGCUGAUUGGGUGAAGUGGAGCUGUGCUUUUGGAGCUCUAAUGCAUAUAAAAAAAAUAAAAGGGGAGAAUUUAAUGUUGCACCUAAAUAAACAUAUCCAU